rnacentral:rRNA from 1 species
AAUUUAUUUUUUAUUUAUAAAUAAGAUCUCGAGUCGACCGUAAGCGUGGCGGCGGCGCCGGUUGAAUUCGCGAACGGGUUGCUGAAUUCAGAAUUGUAUGCCCGGGCGGCUG